AUUGAACGCUGGCGGCAAGCCUAACACAUGCAAGUCGAACGAGUGGCGGACGGGUGAGUAAUGUCUGGGAAACUGCCUGAUGGAGGGGGAUAACUACUGGAAACGGUAGCUAAUACCGCAUACCAUCGGAUGUGCCCAGAUGGGCUUAGCUAGUCGGUGGGGUAAAGGCUCACCUAGGAGUCGAUCCCUAGCUGGUCUGAGAGGAUGACCAGCCACAGUGGAACGGUGACCCGGUCCAGGCUCCGACGGGAGGCAGCAGUGGGGAAUAUUGCACAAUGGGCGCAAGCCUGAUGCAGCCAUGCCGCGUGUAUGAAGAAGGCCGUCGGGUUGUAAAGUACUUUCAGCGGGGAGGCGUUACCCGCAUAAGAAGCACCGGCUAACUCCGUGCCAGCAGCCGCGGUAAUAC
rnacentral:rRNA from 1 species